rnacentral:rRNA from 1 species
CAGUCGCCGCGGGAAUACAGAGGGUGCAAGCGUUAAUCGGAAUUACUGGGCGUAAAGCGCGCGUAGGUGGUUCGCCAAGUUGGAUGUGAAAUCCCCGGGCUCAACCUGGGAACUGCAUCCAAAACUGGCGAGCUAGAGUAUGGUAGAGGGUGGUGGAAUUUCCUGUGUAGCGGUGAAAUGCGUAGAUAUAGGAAGGAACAUCAGUGGCGAAGGCGACCACCUGGACUGAUACUGACACUGAGGUGCGAAAGCGUGGGGAGCAAACAGGAUUAGAUACCCCAGUAGUCCCUGUCUCUUAUAA